CAGGUUAGUUUUACCUGUUCUAGAAAUUCACCUUGAUGGCGCCACACAGGAUGCCCUCUUUUCAUCACUCGGCAUGAUGUUUUUGAGCCAAAUUUCUCCCAUUUGGGUUAAUCGCAGGAUCAGCACGUCCACAGUGCAAUGGAAAAGCAACGCCCUGGGAAAACAACCUUCAUAACGUCCUCUCCGAUGCCAGCUGGCCAGGACUUAGUCAGUAUCUACUGAAACCUUGAAUAUCUUGGCUGUGUUAACUGUUUUGACCCAACAUGGAGCGAAAAUGUUGGUUGUACCUUGAGAUUCUGACAUCUGGUUGAAGUCCAGGUUCACUGGCCCAGGACAGGUCAUUCAGCUGUUUGAAAAAAAACAGAAGAGAGACCAGGCCAUCCACUGAGGUAAUCUCCAUGCAGCAUGAACCACUGGUUCCAAUGAACCCACCAUCACCAUACUUCUCAGGAAUCGCUGGUCACUAGACUGAGAGUUCUGUGAAAGCUGAGAUCAUAUCUUACUAAUCUCUGUGUUCAUGGUUCCCAGCUCAGGGUCUAGCACUGAGGGAGUUCUCAGGAGAGUGUUCAUCAAUUAUUGAAUAAAAGCGAUUGCAAACC